rnacentral:rRNA from 1 species
UAAAUUUUAUUUAUUAAAAUUAUAUAUUUUAAUUUAAGUAAUAAAAUUAAUUUUAAAUAUAAAAGUUAAAGUAUUUUUUAAAGAUAAAAUAAUUUAAAUAAUAGUUUAUUAGUAUUGUAAAAGAAAAUUGAAAUAAAAUGAAAAAUUAUUAAUUUAAAAGAAAAUUUUAUUUAUUGUACCUUGUGUAUCAGUGUUUAUUAAAUAAAAAAUAUAAAAAAUAUUUUUUUCGAAUUCAAAAGAUCUAAUUAAUUAAUUUAGUUACUGUGGCAUUAUUAUUAAAAAUAAUUAAUUAGAAAUGAAACGUUAUUCGUUUUUGAAUAUAUCUAAUUUUUUAGGAAAUAAAUUUAAUUUAGAUAUUAGAUAGUAUUAAUUUUAUUUUAUAAAUUAAUAUAGUGUUUAAUAUUAAUAUAUUAAGGGAUAAGCUUUAAUAUAAAAAUUUAUAAAAAUCUAUUAAAAUUUAUAAUAAAUGUAAGCUUAUAAAUUGUUAUCUAUUUAUAAAAAUGUUAUAAUGUAUAUAAUAAAUAAUAUAAUUUUAUUUUUUUUUUAAAUUUUUUACUAAAAUAUUAAUUUUAUUUUAAAAAAUUAAAGAAUAAUGAUAAAAUAAGUAUAAUUUAAUAAAUAUAAAUAAAAGGUUAUUGAAAGGUUUUUAUAAUUAAUUCGGCAAAUUUAAUAUUCGCCUGUUUAUCAAAAACAUGUCUUUUUGAAAUAUGUAUAUAAAGUCUAACCUGCCCACUGAGUAUUUAAAGGGCCGCAGUAUUUUGACUGUGCAAAGGUAGCAUAAUCAUUAGUUUUUUAAUUGAAAGCUUGUAUGAAUGGUUGGAUAAAAUAUUUACUGUCUCAUAAAAAUUUAUUUUAGAAAUUAAUUUUUUUGUUAAAAAGCAAAAAUAAAAUUAAAGGACGAGAAGACCCUAUAGAGCUUUAUAAUUUUAUUAUUUAAUUUUUAAAGAUUAAUUUAAAUUUUAUAAAAAAAAUUAUUUUGUUGGGGUGACAAUAAAAUUUAAUUAACUUUUAUUAUUUUUUUACAUUGAUUUAUGAAUACUUGAUCCAUUUUUAAUGAUUAAAAAAUUAAGUUACCUUAGGGAUAACAGCGUAAUUUUUUUAGAGAGUUCAUAUCGAUAAAAAAGAUUGCGACCUCGAUGUUGGAUUAAGAAUUAUUUUAGGUGUAGCAGUUUAAAAUUUAGGUCUGUUCGACCUUUAAAUUCUUACAUGAUCUGAGUUCAGACCGGUGUAAGCCAGGUUGGUUUCUAUCCUUAAUUAAAUAAAAUAUUUUAGUACGAAAGGACCAAAUAUUUAAAAUAUAAAUUUUUAUUAUUAGAAAAUUAUU